rnacentral:rRNA from 1 species
GACGAACGCUGGCGGCGUGCUUAACACAUGCAAGUCGAACGGAAAGGCCCUGCUUUUGUGGGGUGCUCGAGUGGCGAACGGGUGAGUAACACGUGAGUAACCUGCCCUUGACUUUGGGAUAGCUUCAGGAAACUGGGGCUAAUACCGGAUAGGAGCUCCUGCUGCAUGGUGGGGGUUGGAAAGUUUCGGCGGUUGGGGAUGGACUCGCGGCUUAUCAGCUUGUUGGUGGGGUAGUGGCUUACCAAGGCUUUGACGGGUAGCCGGCCUGAGAGGGUGGCCGGCGACAUUGGGACUGAGGUACGGCCCAGACGCCUACGGGAGGCAGCAGGGGGGAAUAUGGCACAAUGGGCGGAAGCCUGAUGCAGCAACGCCGCGUGCGGGAUGACGGCCUUCGGGUUGUAAACCGCUUUCGCCUGUGACGAAGCGUGAGUGACGGUAAUGGGUAAAGAAGCACCGGCUAACUACGUG